CCAAUAGCGUAUAUUAAAGUUGUUGCAGUUAAAAAGCUCGUAGUUGAAUUUCGGGAUCAAUAUUUCGGUCAUGCCGUUGGUAUGCACUGUUAUCAUUGAUUUCUCACCUUCUAAAGAACCGUAAUGCCAUUAAUUUGGUGUUACGGGGAAUUAGGACUGUUACCUUGAAAAAAUUAGAGUGUUUAAAGCAGGCUCACGCUUGAAUACAUUAGCAUGGAAUAAUGAAAUAGGACAUCCGAUUCUAUUUUGUUGGUUUCUAGGAUCGAUGUAAUGAUUAAUAGGGAUAGUUGGGGGCAUUAGUAUUCAAUUGUCAGAGGUGAAAUUCUUGGAUUUAUUGAAGACUAACUACUGCGAAAGCAUUUGCCAAGGAUGUUUUCAUUAAUCAAGAACGAAAGUUAGGGGAUCGAAGACGAUCAGAUACCGUCGUAGUCUUAACCAUAAACUAUGCCGACUAGGGAUCGGAUGAUGUUAAUUUUUUAAUGACUCAUUCGGCGCCUUACG
rnacentral:ncRNA from 2 species